CCAGAAGUCUCUGCGGCCUCAGGAGGAAAACGGGCACUUCCAUCUCAAAAUCGCUCCGUCAGCACUCACGCUAAUGAUGUACUGAUUUCCUGGACUUAUCCGGAUGCCGGUGAUGUUGCCGCUGUGUCCCACCCCAACAGAGAAGGAGACUGUGCCAGUGAGCCCGGAUUGUGACAGAAAGCUCUUUGGGUGAGACGAAGCGCUCGGGAGUCUGAGGCAAGCUGUAAACGAAGGAGGAAACAGCCACAGCGUCCACGUUCCCGGUUCAGCUCUCAGGGGAGGGCCUGGUGGAAGGGAAGUGUCCCCCGUCCAGCUGCUGGGGGAGUGACCGGCCCAGAGAGUUCUGCAGGAUCUGGUCCCUACCGCUGACUGCGAGCUCUUCCCCACCGCGCACUAUUUCCAAGGUUCUGUUCUGCCUUAAAGCAGUGAAACCACCCCCACCACCCCCCGCCAGCGUGAGGUCUAGAGGCAAAUUGAUAAUAUGGCCCCUCCUAGGUUAGGGAUGGGGAGCGGCGGGGGUGGGGGGGGUAGAGUGGGGGUUGCUAGAGGGAGGGAGAUUUUUCUCUCAAUAUACUGCUUUUAUACUUCUUGAACUUUGAACCGUGUAAAUGAACAACCUAUUCAAAAAAUGUUCUUUUCUUUUUUCCCCCCCCCCAGAUUUUAUUUACUUAUUUGACAGAGAGAGAGCACAAGCAGAGGGAUGGGGAGGCAGAGGGAGAGAGAGCAGCACCCGUGGGGCUCGCUCGAUCCCAGGACCCUGAGAUCAUGAGCGGAGCUGAAGGGAGACGCUUAACCAACUGAGCCACCCAGGCACUCGGAGAAGAUCUCUUUCCAAGCAAAGCACUUGACCAGGACUCACGAGUGUGAGCUUGGGCAGGCAUUUCAUAUCUCAUGGUGUUAGACAUGUGCUGUUCAGGUCAUUAUGUCGGGAAACCAUAUUCCUCUGAAUCGAGCUAGAAAUGCUGUUUUAAAAACAAUUUUUUUCUUUUAGCUAAUUUAUUAAUUUCCAGUGAUGCUUGAUCACUUUAACAAAGAGUUGUUUUCGGGAUGCCUGGAUGGCUCAGUUGAUUAAGCAGCUGCCUUCGGCUCAGGUCAUGAUCCCAGCAUCCUGGGAUCGAGUCCCACAUCGGACUCCUUGCUCAGCAGGGAGCCCGCUUCUCCCUCUACCUCUGCCUGCCAUUCUGUCUGCCUGUGCUCACUCUCUCUGACAAAUAAAAAAAUAAAAAUAAAAAUAAA